rnacentral:lncRNA from 8 species
CCCUGCUCUGAAACAAUAUCUCUCACUCACCGGCACUUAAAGAUCAAUAUCACUGUGUGUGUGUGUGUGAGCGUGUGUGUGAGUGAGAGAGCGAGCGAGCGAGCGAGCGAGAGGGGGGAAGAGAGAGAUACUUCUAAAGGUAUUUCCUCUUUGCUCCUCUUGUCUGUUUUUGGAACACUGCAGUUGUUCUGGAGCAGGUGGGAAUGACAUUGGGAAUAUUCACAGACAUUCACACAAACAUGCAGUUUCCAUACAAGUGUGCACAUACGGAUUGCCUAAACCACACACACACACACACACACACACACACACACACACACACACACACACAACAUAACCCCACUCACAGUAUUAUUAUGACAGACAAGUGGGGCGGGGCUGAGUGGAGAGAAUGUUGGAGGGGAGGAGAUUUGAAGAGAGUCUUGAGAGAGAGACAGAGAGAGGGGUAGACCGAGAGAGAAGCCUGGAGCAUGCACAGAAAUGUGUAGGCUUGUUUAUGUACUGAGACUGUCUCCACUUACUCUGACAACCAGGAGAGUAAUAGAUGAAGAGAGCCAAAGAGACUGAUAGAGAGAUAUUAUUAGUGAAGGACAGAGACAAAUAGAAAACGAAACAUAGAGAUAAAGAAAGAGAGACAGAAAGAUAGGAGGGAGCAAUAGAAACACAGGCAUUAUGCUGCGGUGGGUUCUUAUUGCCCUGUUUCGCUUCAUCAGGGGAGCAGGACGGCAGGUGUUCCCGCCAGUGGAGGAGAGAGGGGCGUACUCAAACUCCGUACAGGAUGCAUUGCUCCGACUGGCCUCAGUCACAGAUUCCUCUUCCCUGCGGGACGCCAUCAGAAAGGCUCUCCAGGCUGUCCUCUCUGAAGUGGUGUGUUUCUACUGUCUCCGUCAUGAUUUAUAUCUAAAGUCUGUCUCCAUCCUACUCACCAACAUACUGUAUUCUCCCUGGGGUAGGGCUUACAGAGAAACAGGAAACCAAGUGAAUGACACAAAACAGGCCAAAUACCAUCCACUUGUACAUGUUUGA